ACUUUAGCUCAGCUGGAUUAGAGCAUCGGCCUUCUAAGCCGACGGUCGGAGGUUCGAGUCCUCUAAGU
rnacentral:tRNA from 1 species